rnacentral:lncRNA from 1 species
GAGGAGGUGUGUAACUUGUGUUUUGAAGGGUUGGCAGGAUUUGGACAUGUGAUAAGUAGCUAAGAGGAUUUGAGACAGGAAAUUGCAUGGAGCAGAGGCACAGGGCCUGGAAAGCAUGGGAAAUGGUGAGUACUUUCGCUGUUUCUAUGAUGAGGAUUAUUAAAUUGUGUUUCAAUUCCUUUUUUUUUUUAAUUCUUUAAAAAUUUUCUGUAGCAGAUGCAGGCAGAUGUAGUUCUUUCAACUCAGGUAAUUUAUUUAUUUUAUUUAUUUUAUUUUAUUUUAUUUUUUUUUGAGGAAGAUCAGCCCUGAGCUGACAUCUGCUGCCAAUCCUCCUCUUUUUUUCUGAGGAAGACUGGUCCUGAGCUAACAUCCGUGCCCAUCUUCCUCUGUUUUAUAUGUGGGAUGCCUACCACAGCAUGGCUUGAUGAGUGGUGCCAUGUCUGCACCCGGGACCUGAACUGGUGGACCCUGGGCUGCCGAAGGGGAACGUGCGCACUUAACUGCUGCACCACCGGACGGCCUCGACUCAACUUGGGUGAUUUAUAUGUGAAGCUGUUGCUGGCAGCUGUUUGCACCACAUUCUAAGAGCAUUUUGGAGAGGGGUCCUUUGGGCUGCUUUCUCAAAGGAAGAACAGACUGGUUUGGCUGGAACCAGAGAGCACUGGAAACACAGGUUGGGGUCAUAGCAUGGGCAGAUUUAAUACCAGGGAGGUGACUGUUCAGGAGUAACUGAAUGUGCACCUGUGACACUGUGUCACCAUCUCUGCAGGAUCCAUUUACAGAGACGAUUUGUGGAGGACUUUAGCCUCCUGCUCAUGGUGUUACUGAAAAAGGAACUGUGGCCAUUUGAUGUAAUUCUGGACAGAAGGCCUGUUGUUUGUGUUGAAUUAGAGGUCAGUAUUUGAAAUUUUCUGUUUUAGUGGAUUUUAUAAGAGGUCCAUAAGAGUAAUGGAUGACUAUGAAAUUAGCCAAAUGCAUAAUUAAAGGUAUAUGACUGUCUGGUUUCUGCUGUGAAUUACUGAGCUGGCAUUUGUUUUUAGAUGCAUAAAACAAGGUAUACACUUGGUACUCUUUCACUUAU